CGCGUAGGCGGUCUUGUCGGUCAGAUGUGAAAGCCCAGGGCUCAACCCUGGACGUGCAUUUGAAACAGCAAGACUUGAGUACGGGAGAGGAAAGCGGAAUUCCUGGUGUAGAGGUGAAAUUCGUAGAUAUCAGGAGGAACACCGAUGGCGAAGGCAGCUUUCUGGACCGAUACUGACGCUGAGGCGCGAAGGCGUGGGUAGCGAACAGGAUUAAUACCCGGUAGUCC
rnacentral:rRNA from 1 species